UCUACGGGUGGCAGCAGUGGGGAAUAUUGCGCAAUGGGCGAAAGCCUGACGCAGCGACGCCGCGUGAGGGAUGAAGGUCUUCGGAUCGUAAACCUCUGUCAGCAGGGAAGAACGGUCACUGUGCUAAUCAGCAGUGAAUUGCCGGUACCUGCAAAGGAAGCACCGGCUAACUCCGUGCCAGCAGCCGAGGUAAUCCGGAGGGUGCGAGCGUUAAUCGGAAUUACGGGGCUUAAAGCGCUCGUAGGAGGUAUGUCAAGUCCAGGGUGAAAUGCCCGCGCCCAACGUGGGAACUGCCUUUGAAACGGGCAAACUGGAGUGUGUGAGAGGAUAGUGGAAUUCCAGGUGGAGGAG
rnacentral:rRNA from 1 species